AGGGCGUCUGGGCCUUUCAGGAAAAGAACAGAUAAAAAAACUAGGCAUCAAUCACUUAAGUAACCUGCCCAAGGACAGAGGUCUAAUUGGAAUACAGAUCCAGCUGAUUUUGGAUUCUUGGGGCUCAUUUGCUCAGUUGAGAUCAUCCAGGCAGUACGCAGGCAAGGACCCC